rfam:Heligmosomoides polygyrus genome assembly, scaffold: HPBE_scaffold0017506
GGGGGUAUAGCUCAGUGGUAGAGCGCUCCCUUAGCAUGGGAGAGGGCUGGGGUUCAUUUCCCCAUACCUCCA